rnacentral:rRNA from 1 species
GACGAACGCUGGCGGCAGGCCUAACACAUGCAAGUCGAGCGGAGCGGGGACGGGUGAGUAACACGUGGGUAAGCUCCCAUCAGAGGGGAUAACACUUGGAAACAGGUGCUAAACCGAUACUGAUGGAUGAACCCGCGGUGCAUUAGCUAGUUGGUGAGGUAACGGCUCACCAAGGCCACGAUGCAUAGCCGACCUGGGAGGGUGAUCGGCCACACUGGGACUGAGACACGGCCCAGACUCCUACGGGAGGCAGCAGUAGGGAAUCUUCGGCAAUGGACGAAAGUCUGACCGAGCAACGCCGCGUGAGUGAAGAAGGUUUUCGGAUCGUAAAACUCUGUUGUUAGAGAAGCGGUAUCUAACCAGAAAGCCACGGCGAACUACGUGCCAGCAGCCGCGGUAUAC